rnacentral:rRNA from 1 species
AUUGAACGCUGGCGGCAGGCCUAACACAUGCAAGUCGAGCGGAGCGGCGGACGGGUGGGGAAUGCCUAGGAAUCUGCCUGGUAGUGGGGGAUAACGUCCGGAAACGGGCGAUAAUACCGCAUACUCUCAGUUGAGCCUGGGGCGGAUUAGAUAGUUGGUGGGGUAAAGGCCUACCAAGGCGACGAUCCGUAACUGGUUUGAGAGGAUGAUCAGUCACACUGGAACUGAGACACGGUCCAGACUCCUACGGGAGGCAGCAGUGGGGAAUAUUGGACAAUGCGCGAAAGCCUGAUCCAGCCCUGCCGCGUGUGUGAAUAAGGUCUUCGGAUGGUAAAGCACUUUAAGUUGAGAGGCGUUACCAACAGAAUAAGCACCGGCUAACUUCGUGCCAGCAGCCGCGGUAAUUC